AUUGAACGCUGGCGGCAUGCCUAACACAUGCAAGUCGAACGGGGUGUAGCAAUACAUCUAGUGGCGGACGGGUGAGGAAUACAUAGGAAUUUGCCCUUAAGUGGGGGAUAGUCCGGGGAAACUCGGUUUAAUACCGCAUGAUCUCGUGAGAGCAAAGCAGGGGACCGCAAGGCCUUGCGCUUUUUGGAGAAGCCUAUGUCGGAUUAGCUAGUUGGUAGGGUAAUGGCCUACCAAGGCGACGAUCCGUAACCUGGUCUGAGAGGAUGAUCAGUCACACCGGAACUGAGACACGGUCCGGACUCCUACGGGAGGCAGCAGUGGGGAAUCUUGCGCAAUGGGCGAAAGCCUGACGCAGCGACGCCGCGUGAGGGAUGACGGCCUGUGUAC
rnacentral:rRNA from 1 species